rnacentral:hammerhead_ribozyme from 1 species
AUCUAGCUGACGAGUCCCAAAUAGGACGAAACACGUGUCCAACUGGAU